AUUGAACGCUGGCAGCAGGCUUAACACAUGCAAGUCGAGCGGGGUGAUGGUGCUUGCACUAUCACUUAGCGGCGGACGGGUGAGUAAUGCUUAGGAAUCUGCCUAUUAGUGGGGGACAACAUCUCGAAAGGGAUGCUAAUACCGCAUACGUCCUACGGGAGAAAGCAGGGGAUCACUUGUGACCUUGCGCUAAUAGAUGAGCCUAAGUCGGAUUAGCUAGUUGGUGGGGUAAGGGCCUACCAAGGCGACGAUCUGUAGCGGGUCUGAGGGGAUGAUCCGCCACACUGGGACUGAGACACGGCCCAGACUCCUACGGGAGGCAGCAGUGGGGAAUAUUGGACAAUGGGGGGAACCCUGAUCCAGCCAUGCCGCGUGUGUGAAGAAGGCCUUAUGGUUGUAAAGCACUUUAAGCGAGGAGGAGGCUCUUUUGGUUAAUACCCAAGAUGAGUGGACGUUACUCGCAGAAUAAGCACCGGCUAACUCUGUGCCAGCAGCCGCGGUAA
rnacentral:rRNA from 1 species